GACCGUUGGGGCUGUGGUUGAUCGAAAGCAGGGAUGUAUUGGGGUUUCCAUUUGAAGAAAAGAAGCUGAGGCCGCAGGCCUAAAGUCUAGAUCUAACAACAAAGUGGACAUAUCCUCUGGAUCCAUGUGGCAGAAGCCUACCAUCUUUGACAAAAGAAAUCAAGCAUGAUAAUACCACAACUGGGAUCAACCAUUCUACACAAAGUAGAGAGGUCUCUUUGUUCUCACCAUCUGAAUAUUCUGAGUGCUGAGAAAUUGCGACAAUAUUCUCAGACAGAUGAUCAGGCUGAAGAAUGUUGACAUGUAACUGGGCACUCCAUUCCACUGAAAAGAAAAAUAAUCAGGUCUUUCUUCCCACCUCUCCAGCAGCUCCUCAAAACUCUUCUGGAAGAACUUCCAAUUCUCUGAAUUUAUAGGAGAGCAAUGCAAGGGGACAGGCAGUUAUCCCUCUCCCAACUCCACUGCAGGCUAUCCGCAUAUAAGUGGCAUUGAGUUUCCCUCGUUGUAAGACUAACGAAAUAACUCUUCCUGACAGGAUUACUAACAGCAUCCUAAACUAGACUACGGAAUAAAUUUGCUGAUGCUAAAUGACUCAUUUCAAUUUGUAUUUAAUAUAAAAAAAUCCAUCUUAUUUUGUACUAGCUGUACCCAGCCACGCGUUGCUGUGGCUCAGUCUGGUUAAAUGGAAAAGAAAGAAAAGAGAAAGCGCACGUUUGUAAUAUGUUUAA